rnacentral:tRNA from 2 species
GGUUCUUUAGCUCAGUUGGUAGAGCGACGCUCUGUUAAAGCGUGGGUCGUGGGUUCAAGUCCCACAGGAACCGCCA